CGGACGGGUGAGUAAUGUCUGGGAAACUGCCUGAUGGAGGGGGAUAACUACUGGAAACGGUAGCUAAUACCGCAUAACGUCGCAAGACCAAAGAGGGAGACCUUAGGGCCUCUUGCCAUCGGAUGUGCCCAGAUGGGAUUAGCUAGUAGGUGGGGUAACGGCUCACCUAGGCGACGAUCCCUAGCUGGUCUGAGAGGAUGACCAGCCACACUGGAACUGAGACACGGUCCAG
rnacentral:rRNA from 1 species